AUUGAACGCUGGCGGCAGGCUUAACACAUGCAAGUCGAGCGGAGUGAUGGCGCUUGCGCUAUCACUUAGCGGCGGACGGGUGAGUAAUGCUUAGGAAUCUGCCUAUUAGUGGGGGACAACAUCUCGAAAGGGAUGCUAAUACCGCAUACGUCCUACGGGAGAAAGCAGGGGAUCACUUGUGACCUUGCGCUAAUAGAUGAGCCUAAGUCGGAUUAGCUAGUUGGGGGGGUAAAGGCCUACCAAGGCGACGAUCUGUAGCGGGCCUGAGAGGAUGAGCCGCCACACUGGGACUGAGACACGGCCCAGCCUCCUACGGGAGGCAGCAGUGGGGAAUAUUGGACAAUGGGGGGAACCCUGAUCCAGCCAUGCCGCGUGUGUGAAGAAGGCCUUAUGGUUGUAAAGCACUUUAAGCGAGGAGGAGGCUCUUUUGGUUAAUACCCAAGAUGAGUGGACGUUACUCGCAGAAUAAGCACCGGCUAACUCUGUGCCAGCCGCCGCGGUAA
rnacentral:rRNA from 1 species